AUACGGAGGGUGCGAGCGUUAAUCGGAAUUACUGGGCGUAAAGCGCGCGUAGGCGGAUAAUUAAGUCAGAUGUGAAAUCCCCGGGCUCAACCUGGGAACUGCAUUUGAUACUGAUUAACUAGAGUAUGGUAGAGGUGAGUGGAAUUUCCGGUGUAGCGGUGAAAUGCGUAGAGAUCGGAAGGAACACCAGUGGCGAAGGCGACUCACUGGGCCAUUACUGACGCUGAGGCGCGAAAGCGUGGGGAGCAAACGGGAUUAGAAACCCGAGUAGUCC
rnacentral:rRNA from 1 species